GAGGUAAAGGACCUUUUGAGGUGAAAAAGGAAAUGAUUUUGCAUAUCGAAUGGGAUCCUGAUAAGGGAUUGAUUAGCUUCUCAAUUCAAAAAAUGCUCCAGGCUCCAAUGAUGCAGGAAUUGAACUAAAUUUAGUUUCUGAAUGCCCAAUAAUCGUCCUUUCGGUAUUAACAAAUGUACAAUCUAAAGUCGGAAGCAAAAGUAUUUAACUCACAUAUUGCAAGUUC
rnacentral:misc_RNA from 1 species